AAGAUCAUACUUCACAGGAUCAUUUCUGUAGUAUGUUUCGCCCGCAUUGAUUCUCUUCAAUGCGCUCAAGACACCCACGAUGAGGAGUCACAACUGGAUUACCUGAGCGUGAGGAGGAUGGAUGGUCCCACAGGGGCUGACCAUCAUCGAUGAUCGUUCACCACCUGCACUAGUGCUAGUGGGAUGGUAGUCCAGUAGUCUGAGUGGU